CUCAAAGUGUUCAUGGUGUUGUAGUUAGGAUCUGAUCAAAGACUUUGCAAUGAAAAAAAAGGAGAAAACUUUUCAAAUAUAAAUGAAGUGGGGUCGCCAAAAUCUUUCAAGUGCUUGGGGCCUCUGUGGACCUGCCUUUGGCCAAACAAAGCCUUGUGAGUGGAUUUAAUACCAAGAGAGAAACAACAACAUCUGUUAUUGACAACAGAGCAGAGAAUUCUCUAUACUGCUGCGAUCUCCUUACCCCUCGGUACUCCAACCUCCUUACGUUCAACUACCAGGCUGAAGACCAGUACCAGGCUGUGGAUCAUUUGGUACCAAGUCACGCAAAAGGAAUAAAUCUUAAAAUUUUU